rnacentral:lncRNA from 1 species
UGGUAGCGUAGCAGGCAAAACAGUUAAGGCACUGGUCUAAAUAUGGUAACACAGAAACUCGAUCAUUGACUUACUAAAUACAUGUACAACAGAUAACAAGAUUAAUAAAGCUUCACAAUUUAUUAUAUACAAAACAUUCAAUACUAUUCCAAGUAUAAAGCACAUGAAAACCCAACAGAACACUUAAUAAAAUAUACAGAGACCCCCCUUUUCGGUACGUUAAUCGUUUGUCAACAUCGUAGUAAACGUAGUAAAACAUCUAGGUCAAUUAUGGUUUGGUCCAUUUAUUCAACGGGGAUGCAUACACUAGCAAGGUACAUGCAUUGCAUCGACUGCGGCACUUUUGGUUUGCCUUGGUAAGUUCCUUGGUAUCAGGAGUGACUGCCCUGGUAGCGGGACGCAGUCUAUCUGAAGACUGUUGUGCACUUGCUUUUAUAUCUCUGUCCCACCAACGUCUCGUGCCCCUAUGGAGAUCGUGGGCAAAUUACGUUAUGCUGAUUGGAUGCUGAUCUCAGGUCAUUAGGUCACUGACGUCAAUAAACAUAGUGAUGCAAAUGGCGGCGAUCGGAAUGUUGACGUUCUGUCGAGUCG